GCUUGCACCUGGUGGCGAGUGGCGAACGGUUUUUAUAAUACAUCGGAACAUGUCCUGUAGUGGGGGAUAGCCCGGCGAAAGCCGGAUUAAUACCGCAUACGAUCUACGGAUGAAAGCGGGGGACCUUCGGGCCUCCCGCUAUAGGGUUGGCCGAUGGCUGAUUAACUAGUUGGUGGGGUAAAGGCCCACCAAGGCGACGAUCAGUAGCUGGUCUGAGAGGACGACCAGCCACACUGGGACUGAGACACGGCCCAGACUCCUACGGGAGGCAGCAGUGGGGAAUUUUGGACAAUGGGCGAAAGCCUGAUCCAGCAAUGCCGCGUGUGUGAAAAAGGCCUUCGGGUUGUUAAAGCACUUUUGUCCGGAAAGAAAUCCUGAGGGCUAAUAUCCUUCGGGGAUGACGGUACCGGAAGAAUAAGCACCCGCUAACUACGUGCCAGCAGCCGCGGUAAUACGUAGAGGUGCGAGCGUUAAUCGGAAUUACUGGGGCGUAAAACCGUGCCGCAGGCGGGUUUGCUAAGACCCGAUGUGGAAAUCCCCCGGGCCUCAACCCUGGGGAACUUGCAUUGGGUGACUGGCAAGGCUAGAGUAUGGGCAAAGGGGGGGUAAAAAUUCCCCGCGUAACCCUGAAAUGGCGUAGAGAAUGUGGAGGAAAUACCGAUGGGCGAAAGG
rnacentral:rRNA from 1 species